rnacentral:lncRNA from 1 species
CCGGCGCCGGGGCGCGCGGCAGCAGCCGUUGGGGUCCCGCGCGCGAGCGCCCGCCCCCAACAGCCGCCUCUGAGGGACCCCAACGGUCCCCGCCCACCUCAUCCGCAGGGGAGGGCCGGAGCUGUCACGCCCGCGGGCCUCCUCUGUGCGCUCUUCAUCAAACACCGGGGAGCUCCGAGCGGGAGGUGUCGCGGGAAAGCAGCGCCCUCCCUCUGGGCUGCCUCCGUCGCCAGCCCCAGCCCCGCAGGUAGGGCACCGGCACCCCGGUGGAGUGAAGCGCCCGCCGCCCGCGCCCCUGCGGGUUACCGGUGCCAAGUACUGCGGCGGGGUGGGUGCUGCUGCUCUGCACCCAGCGCCGCUCGCUGCUCAGCGCCAGCCCCCGAGGAAGCACCUUGCAGCCAAGAAAACGAAGUGUGGCGAGGGAUCACUUAUGAAUAUAUUGAAGAGACCAGAUCUCCCAUUGCUGAGCCUAUGUCAGUGAAUACUGAGACUUUCUUACCUUUCUCCUGGCGUAUAUGCCCUGCAAAGCAAGGGACAAUGGAAUCAAGAAAUAAACAUCUGACCACGUCACAAAUCCAAUUAUCUCUGACAAGGCUAGUAAAGUCAAGUGAAAAACAAAGCAACACUGUCCGGAAGAAGAUUUGUAUUUUGGAUCAUACUGGAGAAGUACACCUGUGCACCUGGAAUUUUUGUGCCAGCAGCUUCUUGUUCCACAUCUCAAGGAGGGUAUGGUCCCAUUAG